GGGGGUGUGGCUCAGUGGUAGAGCACUUGUUUAGCAUGCAUGAGACACUGGGUUCCAUCCUCAGCAUUGCAA
rnacentral:tRNA from 1 species